GGUUUCAAGCAAUCCGCCCGCCUCGGCUUCCCAAAGUGCCGGGAUUACAGGCAUGAGCCACCGGGUCCGCCGCUCAGGUGUUUUUAAAGGACGUAGACCCGGUGGUGAUUGUUGUGGGACGAUGAAAGGGUCCGGCCCCAAGAUCGAUGUAGUUUAGGGAAAUAUCUUUUCCCAAGGAAUGUCUCCGAGUUUACAAGAUGAGCGCCAAGGUCACGCCCCCCGCCCUCCCUCACAGCCCUCUGUUCACAGCAGCACCGUUCUCUUGUGGCCGGUUUUGUUGCUUUUCUGCUUAGCAGCCUCCCUCACAGAACCGUGAUCCCCCCACCCCACACAUCCCUUUCCCCGCUUCCUCCCGCACUCCUCUUCUUCCAGCAGGUGUUUACAGAACAUCCACGGAGUUUGGGCCAAGCCCAGAGUGAGGAGCUGGGCACUGGGGUGGCAGAAGACCAGGCCUUGCCUUGAGCCCUUGUGCGAGCUUUACCUCAAAGCCUCUGUAAUCGAAGUGGGAGAAGGGGUGGUGGUGCGUGGUUGGUCUCAGCCACCUCCACCACUCCUCAGAAGAUGAACGCUGGAUCCAGGAAGAGAUUGUCAAGGUUGCUACAAUAAUUCCAGCUGUGUAUACCUCCUGGGAUCAUAAUAGAAAUGAACCUCUGAAGCAUCUUACUGAAGAAGGCCCCUACGUUGACUGUCCAGCUGACUGUCUCUACCCGACUGCUGUCCCACACAAUAUGGGCCAGGCGAUGGUAUUGCCUUUGCAAACUAAAUGAAGUUCCUCAAAGUGAAGCUGGUGGCGACUUCAGAGUUAACUUUUCAAAUGGCCGGGCUUAUAUAGAAUAACCUUUGUAAAAGUAAACUAUGAUCAUAUAAUAAGAUACAUGUGCAUUUGGAACGCCACUGCUUUUGGAACCUGUCUCAGUUUUUAUCAUCAUACAAGGUUAAUUGUCUAAUGUCAAUUAGAUUUUAUCACAGUGCAUUUGGGUCCUAAUCUGGAACAAUAAAAGUCUAUUAAACAGCAAACUUUGUAGAUGUAUUUCCUAAAGAUGUAUUUCCUUUUUACCUGAGGUUAAUUUUUUUUUUCUGCUUGCUCUGUCACCCAGGCUGGAGUGCAGUGGCAUGAUCUCG
rnacentral:lncRNA from 1 species